AUUGAACGCUGGCGGCAUGCCUUACACAUGCAAGUCGAACGGUAGAGGGGGCGACCCCUUGAGAGUGGCGAACGGGUGAGUAAAGCAUCGGAACGUGCCCAGUAGUGGGGGAUAGCCCGGCGAAAGCCGGAUUAAUACCGCAUACGACCUACGGGUGAAAGGGGGGGAUCGCAAGACCUCUCGCUAUUGGAGCGGCCGAUGUCAGAUUAGGUAGUUGGUGGGGUAAAGGCCUACCAAGCCGACGAUCUGUAGCUGGUCUGAGAGGACGACCAGCCACACUGGGACUGAGACACGGCCCAGACUCCUACGGGAGGCAGCAGUGGGGAAUUUUGGACAAUGGGCGCAAGCCUGAUCCAGCCAUGCCGCGUGCGGGAAGAAGGCCUUCGGGUUGUAAACCGCUUUUGUCAGGGAAGAAAUCCUUUGAGCUAAUACCUCGGGGGGAUGACGGUACCUGAAGAAUAAGCACCGGCUAACUACGUGCCAGCCGCCGCCGUAAUAC
rnacentral:rRNA from 1 species